UCCCUGGAGGACUAGUGGUUAGGUCUCGCGCUCUCUCCGCUGUGGCCCGGGUUCGAUUCCCAGCCAGGGAA